rnacentral:rRNA from 1 species
CCUACGGGAGGCAGCAGUGAGGGAUAUUGGGUCAUGGAGGCAACUCUGGACCAGCCAAGUCGCGUGAAGGAUGACUGCCCUACGGGUUGUAACUUCUUUUAUAAGGGAAUAAAGUGAGCCACGUGUGGCUUUUUGCAUGUACCUUACGAAUAAGGAUCGGCUAACUCCGUGCCAGCAGCCGCGGUAAUACGGAGGAUCCGAGCGUUAUCCGGAUUUAUUGGGUUUAAAGGGUGCGCAGGCGGAAUAUUAAGUCGGCGGUGAAAUGUUUGCAGCUUAACUGUAAAAUUGCCGUUGAUACUGGUAUUCUUGAAGUGUAUAUGAAGUAGGCGGAAUAUGUAGUGUAGCGGUGAAAUGCAUAGAUAUUACAAGGAACUCCGAUUGCGAAGGCAGCUUACUAAAUUACAACUGACGCUUAGGCACGAAGGCGUGGGUAUCAAACAGGAUUAGAUACCCUGGUAGUCCACGCCAGUAAACGAUGAUUACUCGAUGUAUGCGAUACACAGUAAGCGGCUUAGCGAAAGCGUAUAAGUAAUCCACCUGGG